CAACAAAAUCGAAAUUCCACAAAUCAAUGGAAAAAUCAACCAGAGCCGUCGGUCCCCUAUGAUGCGGCGGGUGAGGAAGGCUAGUGGGCGUGGGUGAGGAAGGCUGGUGCAAGGCAAGUUCCGCCGGUUGAGAGAGAGACAAAGAAGGCGAGAGAGAAAGAGUGAGAAGGCGAGAGAUUGAAAGAGCAGAGUAGGAGGCGCCGCUUUUUAAAUUUACGGAGAAUAUUAGUAUUUGGGCUUUAUUUGUGUUAGAUUCUUCUUUACCUAUGUAAUUAAAUUGGUAUUGUACACUAUUAUGCCUUCUACUUCAGUCAAAAUUGGUAUUGUGCUAUUUACUGAUCAAAAUUGAAAUUUUAUUUAUUGUUGCAA